AUUGAACGCUGGCGGCAGGCCUAACACAUGCAAGUCGAACGAGUUGCGGACGGGUGAGUAAUGUCUGGGAAACUGCCUGAUGGAGGGGGAUAACUACUGGAAACGGUAGCUAAUACCGCAUACCAUCGGAUGUGCCCAGAUGGGAUUAGCUAGUAGGUGGGGUAACGGCUCACCUAGGCGACGAUCCCUAGCUGGUCUGUGAGGAUGACCAGCCCCACUGGAACUGAGACACGGUCGAGAGUCAUAGGGGAGGCAGCAGAGGGGAAUAUUGCACAAUGGGCGAAAGCCUGACGCAGCCAUGCCGCGUGUAUGAAGAAGGACUUCGGGUUGUAAAGUACUCUCCGCGGGGAGGCGUUAUCCGCAGAAGAAGCACCGGCUAACUCCGUGCCAGCAGCCGCGGUAAUAC
rnacentral:rRNA from 1 species